AACGCACAUUGCGCCUCCUGGUAUUCCGGGAGGCAUGCCUGUUCGAGCGUCAUUAAAAACCACUCAAGUUCUUUUGCUUGGUCAUGGAAGUAGAGUUUGCUUGCAAUCUCUCCUCCGAAAUUCAAAGGCGGAAAGUCUCAGAGCCCCGGCGUAGUAAUAAUAUUUCGCUUGGAACUUGAAAUGAUCCUGCCCUUAACCCCCAAUUUAUCUAGGUUGACCUCGGAUCAGGUAGGGAUACCCGCUGAACUUAA
rnacentral:misc_RNA from 1 species